rnacentral:lncRNA from 1 species
CCACGAAUGAAGCUGAAUGCCGGCGGGAUGAUGGCGACGACAAGGAGGAGGACGACAGCAACAAGGAGGUCAACUACGACGACGAUGAAUAACAUCAAGUAGUUUUGUUAGGUUCUAGAAUUAUGCAUGUUAAUUACGUAGAACUUCUGCAUAUCAUGUAAUGAUAUUAAGUAUCGUCUUUAUGUUUUAUGAAGUUUUCCAUUGAAACCUCUCAUGUCCACUCGUGCUUGUAACUGCUUGAACUUGUCCCAAAAUAUAUACUUCUGACUACCAUCUUGGCACCAUAAGUGUAAUCACAAGUAUAUAUAUAUUGUGAUUUGGCCUCACAUUGGGAAAUUUAAUAAUAUAAGCAAUUGAUAUCUAAAAAAUUCUUAAGUUUUCAAAUUAUAUUCUAUUACACUACAAAUCAUUACAGAAUAUGCACAUGUCUAAUGACAACCGAAUACGUUGCCGAAAAUCAGGUCAUAACGUCACUAAAGUUGUCAAGGGCGCUGCCCCGAGGGAAAAAACAGCUGGUGAUAGUCUUCCGUCAUAUAAAAUGAUAUUAGGCAACAUUUCAUAUCCCGUUACCAGGGUUUUCGUCACAAAAUAGCACAAAUUUUGUAGUGACGGUGUCAAAUUCCUCUUUCUGUAACCAGAAACAGACUACAGGUCAAAUCUCUGGAGGAAGAACAUGAGGUGAUGGUGUCUCCAUCUCAAGAAAAGCUUCCGUGAUUUUUUGGGAAUUUUUUAGGUACAUAUAGGAUUUUAUGGCAGCGGAAUCACCAAAAGAUGGUGGCCAGGGACCCCACAUGCCCCCGUGGCGCGCCCUAGGGAGGCGCCACUUGUCCGUGUCACCCGUGGUGGCUCCCCUCUGGUCCGUUUUCAUUCCAUAAUUUCUCAAAUAUUCUGAAACAAAUCUCCAAAAAUCCAUGUCCAGUUUCGAGCAUUUUUAUUUCUACACAAAAAUAAUACCAAAGGAUUUCUAGUGAAAGCUCUGUCAGUCCAGGUUAGUUUCAUUCAAAUCAUAUAAAUUAGAGGCAAAAGUAAGAGCAAAAAUGUUUAGAAAAUUAGAUACAUUUGGGAUGUAUCAUCCCUCCACAACGAAAUCCCUCAUAUGCUUGCUUUUGGUGGUGAAGGGGGACCAUUUCCCCUUUGUACUAUUGGCGAAAAUCUUGUUGGUCUUACCGGCGAUGUCGGCCUGUCCACUACUGCUCCAGCCCGAAUUUGGUGGGACGGCCGAUGAGCACCUUAGUCCACGACCUCACCGCGUUGCCCAUCUCUCAGUGCCGGGAACCCAUCUAGUGAGCUAAGGACACCUACCCUAAACCCCUCUCUCUUUUCUUCUUGAUUACUGCUUCAUUUUCCAUGAUUUGAGCUUCCCCUCCUUGUUGUGGAAUAUACUAAAAUAUUCGGCCAAUGUUGUAAUUUUGUGAAAUAUCCCGUCAUUUCACAAAUUUUAUGCUGGUUUUUGGUUUGUGAAAUGUUUAGCCGAUAUUGUAUUUAUGAAAAUGAAAUGCAUUCGAAGACCUCAAAUUGAAAUGGAAGUGAAGAUUAGUAAAACUGACACAUUGUGUAUCUAGUAAUUUGCUAUUCUCAAACUCAAAAGGAAGUCAAGAUCUCUGGAGCAAAUAUAUGUAAUAUCCGGUAAUUCUUGUCUUAAAUUUGAAAUAGAUGUUAAUGUUUGUAAAGUUGCUAUUUGAUCAUAAUUGGUAAUUUAUAGAUUUGGAACUGAAGUGGAUGUUAUAUUUGUGAAAUUGGUGAUAUCAUUUAUAUUUUAUUUCAGUGUGUAACUGAUUGUUUAAAAUAUGUGAAACCGAUUAUGGCAAAUACUCCCUCCAUCCCAAACUAAGGUGUCUCAAGUUUUUACUAACUUUUGUACUAAGUUUGAGACACUUAUUUUUGGGACGGAGGGAGUAUGUAAAACCGAUUAUUUUAAUGUGUGAAAACCUAUUUUUAAUUUAUGAAAAAAUAUUUUAAUGUUUGAAACUAAAUAUUUAUGUAAUUGAAUCAGUUUGUGAACUAUGAAAUCUUUUUUCAAAACUAUUUUAUUUUUGAAAAGAUGGAAGACCUCUCGACCUUUUGUAUCAUUGUGAUGCAGACAACAUAUUUAUUAAAAGCAUCUCCAGCCGUUGGCCCCCAGGAGGCGCUAAAAAUCGCCCCUCGGAACGCACCGGCGAAAACCGCGUGCUAGGGGCGUGAUGGCCCCCAGUCACGGCGCCCAUGAGUUAUUUGAAAACCAUAAACUAGGCGCAAAUUCAUCCAAACUUCGGCGAGUUCAUACAUAUUUAAAAUAUUUUACAAAAAAAGAAAAAAAAGCUACUCGCCGCGGCCCGCCGUCGCCCUCGCCGCUCCUCGCCACCCGCCGCCCUUGAAGCUCUACAUGCCCAGGAGCCUGUAGAACCGCGUGUCGCCGUCGCCGUCGUCGUCGUCGUCGCCGCCUCCUCUGCGGCUGUCGUCCCUGCUGCACCUCUCCCCAGGUUGGCGCGGCGGGUUGGACGGUCCGGGGGCGUCCUCGUCCUCGUCGCUGUCGAGGAUCACCACGACGUGCUCGUCCUCGCGCCCACGCUUGCGGGCGGCUAUCUCCUCCAGGGCUCGGCGCUGCCGGACCAUCUCGUCGCGGAGGUAGUCGUCCCGCGCCCACUUUCUCCUCGUCGGAGAAGCCGCGCCGGACUAUGGCCUCGUACUCCGCGGGGAGGCCGGGCUCCGCCUUCGGCCUGACGAGGACGAGGCGGCCAGAGGUGGGGGAGGAGUCGGUGAUGCAGACGCCGGAGCUGCGGGUGCGGUGGCUGACCACCGUGUCCUGGGGCUCCGGCUUGACGGGGCGGAGGCAGGGAGAGCCGGUCGAGCGGCCGGACAAGGAGGAGGACACCCCCGGGUCCAUGCGCCUCGGCGUCCACGAGCUCCCACGCCAGCGGGAGAAUGACGGGGGAGCGGGAUACUCCAGCCUGGGCGUGUUGCCGCCCUUGAUGUACUCGAGAACGGCCUCCAGCGUGCAGCCGGGCACGCCCCACCAUCGGCAGCGGCCUUCGAAGUUGAGCCUCCCGGAGGGCACGUGGCGGGCGAGGGACACACGUCGUCCGGUCUUCACUGCGCCGCAAGUGAGGCAUCAAUGGAGGAGGCUGACCGGCGCGGCAGCACGCGACAACUUUGGCAUUGAUUCACAGCGGGAACCGAGGCGAUGAGGACGACGAAGCGGCGAGAAGAGCCGAGUCGCUGCCAAGGAGGGUCCGCCGACUUUCGCGCCAAAAACGAUUUGGUCGGCGCCCCCAAGAGCCCCCCAGCGCGCCGGGUUCAGCCUGGGUCCGUCGACGCCAAUUUCGGUCCGAGCCGGCGAAAAAAGGUCCUUUGGGAACGCGAUUGGGCCGAUUUUUCGAUGCCGACGGCCGAAAUAUCGCCUGGGGGGCCUUGUUGGAGGCGCGGCUGGAGAUGCUCUAACUCCCAGGUAACAACAUCCGUUAUAUAGUGCAACAAGCAAAGGAAACUAACACCACUUUUAUGAAGGUAUUUGGAUCAAAAAUUUAUUAAAUAACAGAUGUCACUUUUUGAAAUGAAAUGAUUGAAGUCAAUAGUUUGAAAUAAUUGUAACGGGUGGAAUCACUGUCUUGAAAUAAUGAUCACUCUUUAGGAAAAGAAAUAGACAUGCAUGGAUUUGUUUGGUGAGAGGAGAGGGGACGUGAGCUGGCACGUCCUUUGCGGGUACGUGCAAAGUGAUCGAGAGAGAGCAGGGCCUCAAGCCACACUGCCACAGGGCCCAGGUAGUCAAAUACGGUAAUACUAAAAUUAAUGAAGAGAAGAAUGCAAUACAAUCACGCAUGCAUGUGAGCCGACACCUUUACGUGCGGAAAACACGGCUACGCGCCGGCGCCGCUAGAAACCGAUUUGGCGCCAACGCACGCCGUGUCUCGAUACAAGCUACGUACGUGGUGCGGAUGGGUGCUGAUAGGAGGGAGAUUUGGCAUUUCCUAAUCAAGGGGCGUACGGGCUCGGCUGGCCGGGUCCAAGAAAAAGUUGACAACAGCCACGUAAAGGCACAUGCCAGAUGAUAUGCUUGGUGUUGCCGGACCCCACGCGCACAGUGACCUCGUUAGCCCCAACCAACCACCUGCAUUACCAAACGCCCCGUACUAACUAACUCUUGUAAGGGCACACCAGAAGGCAAAGAUAGUUACACCAAAAUACACACUUCCACCGUCCGGAACGAAUCUAGAUAUAUACAUCCGUGUGAGCGUCAACUAAUUUCGGGCAAAGGGAGCAGUAUACGGAAGAGUUAGUUCUUGGAAGGAGGUGUUCAGAAAACUGAGCAGUUUAAUCCGUGCAGUGCUGUUGCUUGUAAGGAUCAUUUUCUAGGUACGAUCAUUUUCCGUUGGCGCGCCCGUAAGACCGUGUGAUAUAAUGUAGGAGUACUAGGGUAUAAUGGAUGCAUGAUAGGAUCGCAGCUCAUUAAGAGCUGUCACGAAUGGAAUGGCCGACGGGAUCCUCGCCAGUCUCACAACUUGCGCAGCCCGCCCGUGAUCAGUAUGGUUCAUUUUUCCUUCGGAUCCCCUGGCAACAACCGCAGGAAUGGACACUAUAUAGUUCACGGGUUAGCGGCAGCUUAGAGGUGGUACCACUCCACUGACCGCUGCCACUGCUACUCGUCUCCAAGUCGUAAAGGAACUGGAGAGGCUGCGAGGGAGGGCCGGGGGAACUAAUACUAUAGCACUGCUAUACCAAGCUCGCCAUUAAUGGCAGCUGCCAUGUCGAGGAGAGCGGUGGCCGUGGCCGCGGUGCUCGCCGCCGUCACCUCGCUGCUCGCCCCCGCCGCCGUGGCGCAGCUCUCGACGUCCUUCUACAGCGGCAGCUGCGCGAGCCUGGAGUCCAUUGUGAGGUCGGGCAUGGUGUCCGCCGUCCAGCAGGAGCCGCGCAUGGGCGCCUCCAUCCUCCGCCUCUUCUUCCACGACUGCUUCGUCAACGUACGUCGCCGAAAGUUCCUUCCUGCUACUCUUCUACCUCCAUCCAUACGCUGCAAAUGGUCUCAUGUCCAUUUCAAAUCCAUGGCCGCGCGCAGGGCUGCGACGGCUCGGUGCUGCUGGACGACUCGGCGACGCUGACGGGGGAGAAGAACGCCGGGCCGAACGCCAACUCGCUGCGCGGCUUCGAGGUGAUCGACGCCAUCAAGUCCCGGGUCGACGCGGCGUGCCCCGGCACCGUGUCCUGCGCCGACAUCCUCGCCGUCGCCGCGCGCGACGGCGUUAACCUGGUAAUUUAAGCUCGCUCGCUACUUACCAUGCACGCAUGCACGACAUCCCCGUGGAGAUAUAUAGAUCUGUUUAUUUACGUCCGCCUGCCGACACCCGUACAGCGAACUAGCUGUCGCCUUAUUAUUUCAGAGAGGAAAAAGCGCCGAACUAGGCACUCGAUCGCCUUGGCCAAAAGGGUUCACUUAUUCCAUCGUCUUUUUAACAACGCACGCGCGACAAACGAGCACUAGUCAGCACAUGUGGGCGGGCUAGCCUCGCAGAACCCGCUUUACGGUGAGGUUGUUGCCGCUGCAUGCAUGAUGUUGGCAACUUGAUCUUCUGAUGUGGGUUAGCAUUUUUUUUAUAUAGUAACGAACAUGGUACAGAUGUGGACAUUUCAUCACACUGACGUACGUAGAGAUUACACUGUGAAUACAUGCACGUGUACCCCUGUCGUUGGGAGCAAGAGAGACUGAGACCACGCGUUUUUUUUAAUAACGAACAUGGUACAGAUGUAGACAUUUCACCACGACGUACUUGGCUAAACACGGCACUGUCUCGAUCUAGCUAAACAAACAUCGCUCGAAAGUCUGAAAUAAUUGAAAAAAAAUAGGCACACCCAUGCUAAGUCUAUAACUUAAACAGGAGUGAAAGGAAACAAACUAAGUUCACCGUCUUUUGAGCUACUUGAUCUAUCAAUUUUGUCGUGUAUGAAUAAUUGCUCAGUAUAUGAGCAUGUAGUUACUAUCCGUACUUGCUUGAUUACCGCAUGUGCCUAUUUGCUCACAUGAUGAUGACGUACGUGCGUGCAUGUGCAGCUGGGCGGGCCGUCGUGGGGGGUGCCGCUGGGCCGGCGGGACGCGCGCACGACGACUCAGGCAGCGGCGAACAGCAACCUGCCGUCGCCGUCGUCGAGCGCGGCCACGCUGAUCUCGGCGUUCGCGUCCAAGGGGCUGGACUCCCGCGACAUGGUGGCGCUGUCCGGCGCGCACACGAUCGGCGCGGCGCGGUGCGCGAGCUUCCGGUCGCGCGUGUACAACGACAGCAACAUCAACGCCGGGUUCGCGACGCGGCGGCGGCAGGUGUGCCCGGCGCAGGGCGGCGUGGGCGACGGCAACCUGGCCCCGCUGGACGCCUUCAGCUCCGUGCGCUUCGACAACGGCUACUUCCGGAACCUGCUGAGCCGCUUCGGCCUCCUUCACUCGGACCAGGAGCUCUUCAACGGCGGGCCCGUGGACUCCAUCGCGCAGCAGUACGCCGGCAACGGCGGCGCCUUCUCGGCCGACUUCGUCACCGCCAUGAUCAAGAUGGGCAACAUCAGCCCGCUCACCGGAUCCAACGGCGAGAUCCGCAACAACUGCCGGAAGCCCAACUAAAGGAGUACCACGAACGAACUCCCCGAGAUUCGUGGGGUUCGCUCGGCAUUGCCAGCUAGUAGCAUUAGGCCGCCGGACGGUGUUGCUUUUUUUCUGGUGGGGGAGAGGGUGGAGUGUGAAGGAAGGAAGGGAAGGCAACGACAUGAUUUGGUGGAGUGGCGCUGUCAGGUGAGGGGAGGAACGUACGGGACCGGGGCUCGUGCAUGUCUUUUUUCUCGUCAAGUUUUGAUUGCUCACCAGGGGGGCCGUGCGUGUCGCCGGCGGCGACACGUCGCGGCGUCGGCAUUGCUUUGGUAAGUCGGGUGCAUUCUUUAUCUGUACCAUAUCAUGAUUAUAGUUUCAGAUGUAAGUCUUUGUAAGUACGUACGUGGCUCCAACGAUGAUUGUUUUGCAAGGAAAGAAAUUAAUAA